rnacentral:rRNA from 1 species
CUAAUACCGGAUAACACUCUGUCCUGCAUGGGACGGGGUUAAAAGCUCCGGCGGUGAAGGAUGAGCCCGCGGCCUAUCAGCUUGUUGGUGGGGUAAUGGCCUACCAAGGCGACGACGGGUAGCCGGCCUGAGAGGGCGACCGGCCACACUGGGACUGAGACACGGCCCAGACUCCUACGGGAGGCAGCAGUGGGGAAUAUUGCACAAUGGGCGAAAGCCUGAUGCAGCGACGCCGCGUGAGGGAUGACGGCCUUCGGGUUGUAAACCUCUUUCAGCAGGGAAGAAGCGAAAGUGACGGUACCUGCAGAAGAAGCGCCGGCUAACUACG